rnacentral:rRNA from 1 species
CCUACGGGCGGCAGCAGUGGGGAAUAUUGGACAAUGGGCGAAAGCCUGAUCCAGCCAUGCCGCGUGUGGGAAGAAGGCCUUCGGGUUGUAAAGCACUUUCAGUGGGGAAGAAAGCCUUGGGGCUAAUACCCUCGAGGAAGGACAUCACCCACAGAAGAAGCACCGGCUAACUCCGUGCCAGCAGCCGCGGUAAUACGGAGGGUGCGAGCGUUAAUCGGAAUUACUGGGCGUAAAGCGCGCGUAGGCGGUCUGAUAAGCCGGUUGUGAAAGCCCCGGGCUCAACCUGGGAACGGCAUCCGGAACUGUCAGGCUAGAGCGCAGGAGAGGAAGGUAGAAUUCCCGGUGUAGCGGUGAAAUGCGUAGAGAUCGGGAGGAAUACCAGUGGCGAAGGCGGCCUUCUGGACUGACACUGACGCUGAGGUGCGAAAGCGUGGGUAGCAAACAGGAUUAGAUACCCUAGUAGUC